UGGGGGAUAUUGCACAAUGGGGGAAACCCUGAUGCAGCGACGCCGCGUGGAGGAAGAAGGUUUUCGGAUUGUAAACUCCUGUCGUUAGGGACGAUAAUGACGGUACCUAACAAGAAAGCACCGGCUAACUACGUGCCAGCAGCCGCGGUAAUACGUAGGGGGCAAGCGUUAUCCGGAUUUACUGGGUGUAAAGGGAGCGCAGGCGGUCCUGCAAGUCUGAUGUGAAAGCCCGGGGCUCAACCCCGGGACUGCAUUGGAAACUGUGGGACUUGAGUGUCGGAGGGGCAAGUGGAAUUCCUAGUGUAGCGGUGAAAUGCGUAGAUAUUAGGAGGAACACCAGUGGCGAAGGCGGCUUGCUGGACGACAACUGACGCUGAGGCUCGAAAGCGUGGGGAUCGAACAGGAUUAGAUACCCUGGUAGU
rnacentral:rRNA from 1 species